rnacentral:lncRNA from 1 species
AAGAUGGCCCCUUGGGGAGAGGCGGAGAAGACUUAAGCUGGAGUCUUGGGAGCUAUGCGUGACGUAAUGAAGGACAUGCUUGUCUGGUUCUGCUAUACCGGUCUCUGUAAAGGAGGGACUCCUAAGAGUUUUCUGGAGGAAUGCAAGGAGUCACUUAUGUGGACUAUAAUCUAUCUGUAAAUGAAGAAAAUGAAUGGAGCUCAUUAUGACUAACAUACCAUCACUUGCAGUAUCGAUAUUAAUGUUUGUAUUACUUCAACUUUUGUAUAAGUCUUGCUGAAGUGAACACAUGCUCAAAGUGGGUGCUUUCCACUUUCUUCUCAUAUGAUUUUGAGGUACCCUCAAGGUCUAAGAAACUUUUAAGUUGAAACACAUAUUUUUCAGUGAAUAUUUCUAUUCUUACAAAUCUGACAUGGGAAAUUUAAAAGCUUUAUCUAUCUGUGAGUAUGCCAGUCUUCUAAGCAAGUCAGAGACUAAAUAAAAUUAUCUAGAACUUUUUGUGUAGGUUUACAACAUAUUAGCUCAUUGAAUUCACUUUGGCAUGUCUGGUGGUGGUAUCCUUGUUCAGCUCACAUUUGGAAAGAAUAUUGCUGCUGAAACAAGGUAAAUGCCCCAAGAAAGAAAAAGUUAAUGUUAACAUCAUCAGUUUUGGAAAAGA